GAUGAACGCUGGCGGCGUGCCUAAUACAUGCAAGUCGAGCGAACGGACGAGGAGCUUGCUCCUUUGACGUUAGCGGCGGACGGGUGAGUAACACGUGGAUAACCUACCUAUAAGACUGGGAUAACUUCGGGAAACCGGAGCUAAUACCGGAUAAUAUAUUGAACCGCAUGGUUCAAUAGUGAAAGACGGUUUUGCUGUCACUUAUAGAUGGAUCCGCGCCGCAUUAGCUAGUUGGUAAGGUAACGGCUUACCAAGGCAACGAUGCGUAGCCGACCUGAGGGGGUGAUCGGCCACACUGGAACUGAGACACGGUCCAGACUCCUACGGGAGGCAGCAGUAGGGAAUCUUCCGCAAUGGGCGAAAGCCUGACGGAGCAACGCCGCGUGAGUGAUGAAGGUCUUCGGAUCGUAAAACUCUGUUAUUAGGGAAGAACAAAUGUGUAAGUAACUAUGCACGUCUUGACGGUACCUAAUCAGAAAGCCACGGCUAACUACGUG
rnacentral:rRNA from 1 species